CAGUCGCCGCGGGAAUACAGAGGGUGCAAGCGUUAAUCGGAAUUACUGGGCGUAAAGGGCGCGUAGGUGGUUGCGUAAGUGAGAUGUGAAAUCCCCGGGCUUAACCUGGGACGUGCAUCUUAUACUGCGUAACUGGAGUGCAAGAGAGGGUAGUGGAAUUUCCGGUGUAGCGGUGAAAUGCGUAGAUAUCGGAAGGAACACCAGUGGCGAAGGCGACUCUCUGGUCUGUAACUGACGCUGAGGAGCGAAAGCGUGGGGAGCGAACAGGAUUAGAUACCCCCGUAGUCCCUGUCUCUUAUAC
rnacentral:rRNA from 1 species